UAGAUUGUUAGCUCAUAAUCACUAGUUGUAGAGCUAAUGAUGAGCUGUCUUAUAGUGAAAGCUCAUCAGAGUUCCUGACUCUCCAGGAACCAGGUGUACUGCUCCUAAACUUCACUGUCAGUCACAUGAGAUGGAUCAUCUCUAAUACAAGGAAGGCCUUCCUAAAUCAAUUACAGGAUGUGAUAGAAGGGAGAAAACUCUACUUCAUUGAGCUGACAUUGGAGACCGCAGGUCGCUGCCAACUCAUUGACUUUUUCCAGGAUGUCCUGGGAGAGCUCAAUGUGGAGUAAUGCCUGUCUCUCCAGACCAAUGAAAAGGUCAUGGUGGAGGGGCUGUCUCUCCUGACUGGCAGCA
ensembl:lncRNA